rnacentral:rRNA from 1 species
AUUGAACGCUGGCGGCAGGCUUAACGCAUGCAAGUCGAGCGGAGAUGAGGUGCUUGCACCUUAUCUUAGCGGCGGACGGGUGAGUAAUGCUUAGGAAUCUGCCUAUUAGUGGGGGACAACAUUCCGAAAGUAAUGCUAAUACCGCAUACGUCCUACGGGAGAAAGCAGGGGAUCUUCGGACCUUGCGCUAAUAGAUGAGCCUAAGUCGGAUUAGCUAGUUGGUGGGGUAAAGGCCUACCAAGGCGACGAUCUGUAGCGGGUCUGAGAGGAUGAUCCGCCACACUGGGACUGAGACACGGCCCAGACUCCUACGGGAGGCAGCAGUGGGGAAUAUUGGACAAUGGGGGGAACCCUGAUCCAGCCAUGCCGCGUGUGUGAAGAAGGCCUUAUGGUUGUAAAGCACUUUAAGCGAGGAGGAGGCUACUGAGACUAAUACUCUUGGAUAGUGGACGUUACUCGCAGAAUAAGCACCGGCUAACUCUGUGCCAGCCGCCGCAGUAA